AUCAUCUUCAGCAGCACAUAUACUGAAAUUGGAACGAUACAGAAAAGAUGAGCCACGGCCCCUGUGCAAGGAUGGUAUGCAAAUUCAUGAAGCGAUCCAUAUUUUA